UACGAAGGGGGCUAGCGUUGUUCGGAAUUACUGGGCGUAAAGCGUGCGCAGGCGGCUUCUCAAGUCAGGGGUGAAAGCCCAGAGCUCAACUCUGGAAUUGCCUUUGAGACUGAGUGGCUUGAGUACGAGAGAGGUGAGUGGAAUUCCCCAGUGUAGAGGUGAAAUUCGUAGAUAUUGGGAAGAACACCGAUGGCGAAGGCAGCCCCCUGGGCUAACACUGACGCUCAGGCACGAAAGGCGUGG
rnacentral:rRNA from 1 species